rnacentral:lncRNA from 1 species
AAAAUGGAAGAAAGUGCCUCAUCUCUUACUCAUCUUUGUUUCCGUUUCUCCCCCGCCGUGCCGGAGGCUGUCUCCGACGGCUGAGGCGCCUCUCCACUUGAAUAAAUAACAUCAAACAAACCGAAAUCAUGCGAGGAGUCUGAAUCCACCAAUGAUUUUUUCUAAUUCCUUAUAAACUAUUCGAAUCGAAACAAAAGUUGACGAACCUUAAACACCUAAUUCUUGAAAUCAGGUGCUCCAAUGGAGUAAUCAAAGUCCCCAUCGUUAGGGUUUUGAUCCUUAUUCCCGAAAACUGCACCAUGGUAUUGAUAACGAUGGAGAACAGAGAGUGAAAGAGAACGUACCGAGGAAUUCUUGAAUUUGUGAAUUCUUCCUUCCUCCACAUUCUUCCUUCUUCCGCAGGAAUGGAAUUCUGCCUGUGUGUGAGUGAUUUGAAGAGAACCUACAUGUGGAAAGAGUGAGGACUGAAGGUGUGAUGAGUGUGAGAAUCUGAGUCUUUUUGUGCUUCCUUGCAUGUAGAGUGAAAAAAUGAAUAAUGAAGAUGGUGGAGGUUUAUCUGAAUAUAUAGGAAAGGGUGAGUUAACAUAAUACUAACUCUGUCAAUUCAAAUUUUUUCACUUGAUUCAAGUUGGUUAGAGGUUACAUAACAGUGUUAGAAUUAGUUAGAAGUGAAAAGGAGAUUUAGUUAGGAGAUUCAAUCUUAGUUAGUUAUGUUUGAGUUGUUGAAAUCUGUUAGUGACGGUUAUGACCGUUAGUUAUAUCGAUUUUGUUAGACCUGUCAUAUUGAGAGGUUAAUGAAAUUGGAUUUAAAUGGAAAGCUAAGCCUUAUUUGUGUUAUACUUAAAUGAAAAAAAGAAAGCUGUUAUUCUAAUUUUACCUGUUAGUUGUUUACAGAUGCGCCGUACGAUAUAGAAGCUUUACUAGUUGCAUAUUUGUUGUACUGAACUGACUGCAUUGUUGGCUUUGUUAUGCAGGUUAAAGAUUGGUGAAAUGUUGAAUUCUGGACAUUGUCGCGGGUUCUCGGGUUAGAGUGAAAUGGUGGUUCAAGAGGUUAGUUUCGGUUCUUUCUUUGGUCAGAAACAAUGAUCCCACGAGAUAUCACUCUGUCACUCGAAGGUUGAAGGUUAUCAAGUCGUUGCCAUGCAAUUUUACUGAUUUCCUUUUGGUUUGCAGGGCCAAUGAUGCAUCAUCUUCGACACUAGCAACAAAGUAAAGUUGCGUUGUCUGUUGUCCAAAAAUAACUCCGAGGUAUUCAUCCUUGUUAAGAAGUUUUGAAACAUCAACCUGUUUUGCCUAGACUUGAUACUCUUAGCCUUCACGCUCUCAACCGGAACUUUCUUUGCAGCAACAACUUUCUUCCCUGGUGUUGUCUUUACAGAUCUCUUAGCAACCUUCGUCGGCUUCACCUUAGACUUUGGCUUCACACCUGCCUUGGGCUUGACAACAACUUUUUCCUUGGCAACAAUAGGCUUAGUCUUAGCCGUGACAGUUCUGGGCUUGAUAGUGGGUUUUUUGUGGGCUUCGCAGCUACCACUUUGACCUUGCAGCGACCUUUGGUUUGGUAACAGCUUUGGCUUUAGGCUUUAGGCUUAGCAACUGAUUUUGCCUAAACAUGGCCUUGGCAACUGUCUUUGUCUAUUGCAGAAUUCAUAUGCCAAUGUUGCAAGAUGGACUAUGGCGGCGAUACUCAAUGUAUGAUGGAUUAGCAGACCGGUUGGUUUGUUGGCUUGGUAUUGUUACUUACGCAUGUCAUUUGAAUGGUUGAUCCAUGUUGUAAUAUGGUUUGGAUUGGUAAUGAAUUGGUUUUAUAUGAUUUUAAUGGAUAUGAAUAUUGGAUAUUGAUUAGUUAUAUAGAUAUUGAAAAUGAAUAUUGGAAUUGGAUAUGGAAUUUGAUUUGGUUUUGGUAAAUGGAUAUAAGGUUUUGGUAAAUGGGUAUUGGGUUGGUUUUUGGUAAAUGGAUAUUGGGUUGGUUUUUUU